CCACAAUGGGCUGGGCCCUCCGCCAUCAAUCACUAAUCAUGCAAAUGUCCUGCAGGCUUGUCUACAGCCCAACUGUAUGGAGGCAUUUUCUUAAUUGAGGUUCCCUCCUCUCCAUUGACUCCUACUUUGAAGCGACAGGAAAUUGUCCAGCACGCCCUUUCUUCCUUAAGUGGCUCCCUGUCAUGUACUUGGGCACAACAGUGAGAAAAGCAGACAGUGAAUCUCUCCUCCUUUCUUUGUACUCUUCCUUUUCCAGUGUCCAGCUGACGGUCUCUAAGGGGUUCUGGGGAAGGGAUUGCAAGGAUACCCUAGGUACCCCUCACUUACCGUGAUGGGAGACUUCAGGCUGCUGGUGUUGUAUUGAGCCGCAAAGGCAAUGAAGUUAGUGGCCUUGGCAGUGCCAGUCUGGGCAGUGCGGCCUUCCAGCAGGAAGGAAGAAUUUCUGUCCUGGGCCUGGACCAGCAGAAAGUCUCCCAGCCCGUUGAAGGUGAAGUUGGCAUUAUCCAAAGUGGUGAUGUGGGGAUCACCAAAUGUCCAAGCUAAAAGAAAGGAGGUUACAUGCUAGCCAAUUAGGGCCAUGGACUCUUACUCCCAGCAGGUAAGGACUUCCAUCUUAGUUGGCUAGAGCUUGGGCAAAUUCUCCAGGCAUCCAGAAUCUACCCCCAAAGUCCUCUUCCCUUGUAGUCCCUGGCCUCAGUCCUCAUCCCUUUGCAAAAGCCAUGUCCAAAGUCCCUGUUUGCUGUUAGCUUCACGCAAGACCUGUCAACAUCAUCCCUGUGGCUGCAGUUCUGUUUAGGAAGUUGGCCCCUUGCUAAUCCACCCCAACCAUGAUGCUCACCGGGCCGUGGGGGCCUGUACCCAGCACAGCUGACACGGGGCCGCCUAAGCUGGUACCAGACACAGAACGAGGGCUUGUCGUUCCAUUGGCAGCACCAGUUCUGUGCCUCCUGCUCCUCAUCUGUGAAGAAGGACAGUUUGUCAGAGGGCGGGGGCCCCGGGGAAGCAACUGGCAUGUUUGGAAGAGUAUGGUGAUAUCAGCAGCAAGAGGAGUCAGGCGUGGCACAGUACAUAUCCUUCUGCGCCCAAAUGGCUGCCAGUGACCAAUGAUCAAAUGACAUUGUAUGUCCUCGUUGAACGAAUGGUGGGGUUAUUACAUAGCACAUAGUACAAGCCCUCAGAGAGCCAGCAGAAGGGAGAACAGAGAUGAUGGCAUGAAGAUACGAGAGACUAGAGCAGUCCCCAGGGUGGGCAGAUGCAAGCCACCCUUUUCUAUUUACCUCUGUGUACCCUGGCUCCCUUGGAAGGUCUUUAUGGUGAGGUGAUUCUAAGUCUUUCCCCCAAAACAUCCUGUUAUCAUGGGACCAGAGGAUAACAUCAAAGUAGGCCCUCUUCCUUGGCCUAGAAAGAUUCUCCACUUUGGGCUGAGGGCACAAGGCCAAAUGAAGAUAGAAGACACAUUCUGUCCUAAUCUGAGAGACUACAAGGAAGAUGGCAGGUUCUGAACUUUUCAAGAUCAGGGGACUGGGACCAGAGAGAAAGCAUCUGGGAAGCAUUGGGAUCAAGAGGCUUCAUCCGGAAGGUCCCAUAGCCUGUCUGAGAAGAGCCGCGGGCGGGGUUAAGGUCUCCAGGAAGAUACUUACCAAACUGCCAAGGACUGUGCAUUCUCCAGCCUUCUCGAAACUCUCCCCAGGCACCAUAGCUGCAGCACACACCCCCUCGCCCGGAGGAGAAGCUGCACAGCUGCCUGUCCCACCAACCUGCAAAGAGACCAGACAUCCUCAGGUCCAGGAGCUUGUGACAGUGGCCAAAACAACCAGGACAGAGGUCCAUGCCCAGAAACUAGCUGGAAGCCACAGAGAAGCUGGCAUGCUCUCGGAGCCUUACUCUAUCACUGGUGGCACCCACCUGUCAUCUGACCCAACUUACGUGCCUGAUUGCCAAACUUCUUUGUCCCAGAUCAACUAGACCUGGACUCACACUUGCAUCUGCCUGACUGACCUCUUCCGAAGGCUAGCAUGCCCUUUUCUCCAUCACAUUUUGGAAGCUGACAUUUCUUUCCUGUUGGAACCUCUCUAUAUUAGACUGAGUCUCAGAGGAAGCCCCACAGUUUGCCUCUGGACACUAGGGUCUCCACCAUAGUGAAUGCUUGUUGAGAGCCAACAUAGCUGGCCUUCAUCCUCUUUCUCUCCAUUUUUCUGUCAGUUAACCUACCAUCUGGCAGAUAGUAAAUGCUCAAUAAAUGUUGACCGAGUAAAU